AAAAUAAAGGAGAAUCUUUUAUUAAGAAAAACAAAGGAUAAGGAUGAAACACAAAAGAAAAAUACAUCAACAACAGACAUAAGAUGAGAAUGCGCCCCAUUCUUUUUUCGUUUUUUUAGGGGUACAAAUGGAAAUAUGUACAAUUUCCAGGGCCAAUAAUUAAACUUCUUGCGGAACUCAAAUCGAUGACGGACAGAAGCAGACGAAAUCAGCAGCAGCAACAAUUGAGUUCCAAUUCCACCAUCAAAAGUCUAUUGAGAG
rnacentral:misc_RNA from 1 species